rnacentral:rRNA from 1 species
GCGAAGCAUAUAACAUGAAGUUUUCGGACGGAAUGUUAUCUGACUGAGCGGCGGACGGGUGAGUAACGCGUGGGUAACCUGCCUUAUACAGGGGGAUAACAGUUAGAAAUGACUGCUAAUACCGCAUAAGCGCACAGUACCGCAUGGUAGUGUGUGAAAAACUCCGGUGGUAUAAGAUGGACCCGCGUCUGAUUAGCCAGUUGGCGGGGUAACGGCCCACCAAAGCGACGAUCAGUAGCCGACCUGAGAGGGUGACCGGCCACAUUGGGACUGAGACACGGCCCAAACUCCUACGGGAGGCAGCAGUGGGGAAUAUUGCACAAUGGGGGAAACCCUGAUGCAGCAACGCCGCGUGAGUGAAGAAGUAUUUCGGUAUGUAAAGCUCUAUCAGCAGGGAAGAAGAUGACGGUACCUGAUUAAGAAGCCCCGGCUAACUACGUGCCAGCAGCCGCGGUAAUACGUAGGGGGCAAGCGUUAUCCGGAUUUACUGGGUGUAAAGGGAGCGCAGACGGCAGUGCAAGUCUGGAGUGAAAGCCCGGGGCCCAACCCCGGAACUGCUCUGGAAACUGUGCGGCUAGAGUACUGGA